UGGGGAAUAUUGGACAAUGGGGGCAACCCUGAUCCAGCAAUGCCGCGUGUGUGAAGAAGGUCUUCGGAUUGUAAAGCACUUUCGACGGGGACGAUGAUGACGGUACCCGUAGAAGAAGCCCCGGCUAACUUCGUGCCAGCAGCCGCGGUAAUACGAAGGGGGCUAGCGUUGCUCGGAAUGACUGGGCGUAAAGGGCGUGUAGGCGGUUUACACAGUCAGAUGUGAAAUCCCCGGGCUUAACCUGGGGGCUGCAUUUGAUACGUGUAGACUAGAGUGUGAGAGAGGGUUGUGGAAUUCCCAGUGUAGAGGUGAAAUUCGUAGAUAUUGGGAAGAACACCGGUGGCGAAGGCGGCAACCUGGCUCAUGACUGACGCUGAGGCGCGAAAGCGUGGGGAGCAAACAGGAUUAGAUACCCUGGUAGUCCACGCUGUAAACGAUGUGUGCUAGAUGUUGGGUAACUUUGU
rnacentral:rRNA from 1 species